rnacentral:rRNA from 1 species
GUCGAACGAACCUUCGGGUUAGUGGCGGACGGGUGAGUAACGCGUGGGAAUCUGCCCUCAGGAGGGGGAUAACGGUUGGAAACGACCGCUAAUACCCCAUAUGCCGAGAGGUGAAAUGAAUUUCGCCUGAGGAUGAGCCCGCGUCUGAUUAGCUUGUUGGUGAGGUAAUGGCUCACCAAGGCUUCGAUCAGUAGCUGGUCUGAGAGGAUGAUCAGCCACACUGGGACUGAGACACGGCCCAGACUCCUACGGGAGGCAGCAGUGGGGAAUUUUCCGCAAUGGGCGAAAGCCUGACGGAGCAACGCCGCGUGAGGGAUGAAGGCCUCUGGGCUGUAAACCUCUUUUCUCAAGGAAGAAGAUAUGACGGUACUUGAGGAAUAAGCCACGGCUAAUUCCGUGCCAGCAGCCGCGGUAAUACGGGAGUGGCAAGCGUUAUCCGGAAUUAUUGGGCGUAAAGCGUCCGCAGGCGGCCUUUCAAGUCUGCUGUUAAAACGUGGAGCUCAACUCCAUCAUGGCAGUGGAAACUGAUAGGCUUGAGUAUGGUAGGGGCAGAGGGAAUUCCCGGUGUAGCGGUGAAAUGCGUAGAUAUCGGGAAGAACACCAGUGGCGAAGGCGCUCUGCUGGGCCAUAACUGACGCUCAUGGACGAAAGCCAGGGGAGCGAAAGGGAUUAGAUACCCCUGUAGUCCUGGCCGUAAAGGAUGAACAC